rnacentral:ncRNA from 2 species
UAUGUGCGCAAGGGAUAGUAGUGAAAAGCCCACAGCUGCCGCAAUGGUAAUUGCGGUGGCGCGGACUUGUAGCGUAUAGCCCGACCCUUU